UCGCACCUACCGAUUGAAUGGUCCGGUGAAGCCUCGGGAUUGUGACUUGUGCCUUCAAUGGUAUUUGUUGCGAGAACUUGUCUAAACCUUAUCAUUUAGAGGAAGGUG
rnacentral:rRNA from 1 species